rnacentral:rRNA from 1 species
UACAGAGGUCUCAAGCGUUGUUCGGAUUCAUUGGGCGUAAAGGGUGUGUAGGUGGCGCGCUAAGUCGGGUGUGAAAUUUCGGAGCUUAACUCCGAAACUGCAUUCGAUACUGGCGUGCUUGAGGACUGGAGAGGAGACUGGAAUUCAUGGUGUAGCAGUGAAAUGCGCAGAUGUCAGGAGGAACACCAAUGGCGAAGGCAGCACUCUGGGACGUGACUGACGCUGAGACGCGAAAGCGUGGGGAGCAAACAGG